ACAGGCUUCUCAGAGAUGCACAUGGUCUCAGCUGUGGCACCUUGGAAUCAGCCUCAGAACUCAAGCUGUCUCAUUCACCUCCAGUCACAACACCAUGGGACCCACUGGGUUCCGGAGCAUCCUGCAAGGCGAGGUGCAACCUCCUGAGAAGCAGGUGGCUCUGGAGUUUGGUGGUUUCUCCCUGGAGUGGCAGGAACACCAGCUGUGCUGAGCUGCUCUGAGCUCCGUCUGUCUCCAGCCGGCCUUUGGCAGUAAUCACAGGCUUUGGGGCAUGCUGCUCUACCUGGACCCAGUUGCGGAAGCUUCCCCUGGCCUAAGAUUUGCAUUCUUAGGGAUCUUCAGACAGGCAGGAAACAGUUGUGCCCACUUCGGAAUUGUUAAGAUUGACCACGUGGAUUUUGUGAGUGACACACGGCGCCUGUGCAGUAACUCCCACAGCUGGUAGCUACCCGGUGGGGAUCCAGACCUGCUACAAAUGAGACACACAACACACCAGGCGCUCAGCACAAUCAUCCCAGGGCUCCACUAUCAGAGAUAAAGGAAGGAUGGAGACCCGUCAGAUACGCAAAGAAGACCAGCCAUGUGAGAAAGAAAUAUGAGAACAACUAACUCCAUAGGGAAAAUAAAUAUUUCAGAAAGCAGAAGAUAAUUCCUCAAAAUAUUAACUCGUGUCUUCGGAGAAAUGAAAGUUUUAGAGCCUGUAAUAAAAAAAAAAAAAUAGAUGCUAUGAAAAAGCAAUUACACGGUAAAGACAGAGCUUAGAAAUUAAACAUGAUCAUUUAAAUAAAAAGUUUAAUAGGCUGGGCCAGGUGGUGCACACCUUCAAUCCCGGCCCUCGGGAGGCAGAGGCAGGUGGAUCUUCGUGAGUUUGAAGCAAGCUUGGUCUACACAGGGAAUUUAAGGGCAGCUAGAGCUACAAAGUGAACCAUUUUCUCAAAAACGGAGAGAGGAGGAACCAGAAAGCUGGUUUUAUUGGUUAAUAGCACAGGCUGCUCUUCCAAAUGACUCAGGUUUAGUUCCCGGAACCCAAACGACAGUUUAUAGCUGUCUGCAACUCCAGUCUCAGGGGGGCCAACACCCUCUCCUGGCCUUCCUGGGCACCAGAAGGGCACAUGAUACACAGAGAUACAUGGAGACAAAACACCCAUGCACAUAAAACAAAAACAUAAAAAUGAUUUUGGAAAAUAAUAAUUUUUAAAAUAAAAUAAUUAGGGCUGGAAAAAUGGCUUAGUGGUCAAUGGUCUAUAAUGCUACUGCAAGGAUUCAAGUUCAGUCCCAGCACCCACAUCAGGGAGCUCACAACCUCCUGUAAUUCCUGCUCCUGCGGAACCAACAUCUUCUUCUGGCCUCCUUAGACACCUGCACUCAUGUACACCUCUCUCUCUCUCUCUCACUCUCUCGCUCUCUCUCUGCUUUGUGCUUACGGAUUAAAUGGAAGUUCUUAGCUAUUGCCCCAGAACUAUCCUUGCCUGUCUGCUGUCCUGCUUUCCUCCAUGAUGGUCAUGAACCCACCCUCUAAAACAGUAAGUCCCAAUAAACUCCUUCUAUAAAUUG